rnacentral:rRNA from 1 species
AUUGAACGCUGGCGGCAGGCCUAACACAUGCAAGUCGAGCGGAUGCAGAGUACUUGCUCGUGGAUUCAGCGGCGGACGGGUGAGUAAUGCCUAGGAAUCUGCCUGUUUGUGGUGGAUAACGUCCGGACGCGGGCGCUAAUACCGCAUACGUCCUGAGGGCGUACGUGGGGGAUCUUCGGACCUCACGCUCUCGGAUGAGCCGAUGUGGGAUUAGCUAGUUGGCGGGGUAAAGGCCUACCAAGCCGACGAUCCGUAGCUGGUCUGAGAGGAUGAUAAGCCACACUGGAAAUGAGACACGGUCCAGACUCCGACGGGAGGCAGCAGUGGGGAAUAUUGGACAAUGGGCGCAAGCCUGAUCCAGCCAUGCCGCGUGGGUGAAGAAGGCCUUCGGGUUGUAAAGCCCUUUUGUUGGGAAAGAAAAGCAGCAGGUUAAUACCCCGCUGUUCUGACGGUACCCAAAGAAUAAGCACCGGCUAACUUCGUG